rnacentral:misc_RNA from 1 species
CCGAGUUUACAACUCCCAAACCCAAUGUGAACGUUACCAAACUGUUGCCUCGGCGGGAUCCUCUGCCCCGGGUGCGUCGCAGCCCCGGACCAAGGCGCCCGCCGGAGGACCAACCAAAACUCUUAUUGUAUACCCCCUCGCGGGUUUUUUUUAUAAUCUGAGCCUUCUCGGCGCCUCUCGUAGGCGUUUCGAAAAUGAAUCA